GCUGGGCGUGGUGGCUCACGCCUGUAAUCCUAGCUAUUCGGGAGGCUGAGGCAGGAGAAUCGCUUGAACCUGGGAGGCAGAGGCUGCAGUGAGCUGAGAUCGUGCCACUGCACUCCAGCCUGGGCGACAGAGCGAGACUCUGUCUCAA
rnacentral:SRP_RNA from 1 species